AAGGGCUUGUGGGGGGCCAACUAGGAGCGACACCGAGGGUUGCUGGGAAGGGCCGACCGUGCAGAUCCCGGGGUGCCUACGACGUUCCAGCCUUGCGCCUCGGUUGCUACCGAGCCGCUGCCCUAGCUGCUCAGUGACGUAGUUCCUGCCGUAGCUCUCAGAAACGGCGGCCAGAGAAAAGCUUGACGAAGAGAACUGGGAGGCUGUGGACCUCCAGGUAUUCUACCACAACAACCAGCAAAGUAACCUGCCAGCCGACACCCCAUCGCCACACCAGCCUGUGUUAGCUACUUGUAACUGUGACACAGUGGCCCAGUGAACAGCUUCCAAGGAGGAGAGGUCUAUUUUUGUUCACAUUUUCAGAGGUCUUGGUCGAUGUUUCCUUUGCCUGCCUCAUUUGAGCAGAACAUCAUAGUGGCAGGCGGGAAUGUGAAGAGUCUUAGUGAGGGUUUUACUGCAUGGUGAAGAGACACCAUGACCAAGGCAAGUCUUAUAAAGGAAAACAUAUAUUUGGGGCUGGCUUACAGGUUCAGAGGUUCAGUCCAUUAUCAUCAAGGUGGGAGCAUGGCAGGAUUCAGGCGGCAUACUGCAGGCAAAGCUGAGAGUUCUACAUCUUCAUCUGAAGACUGAAGGCUGCUAGUGGAAAACUGAUUUCCAGGCAGCUAGGAUGAGGGUCUUAAGCCCACACCUACUCCAACAAGGCCAUGUUGUAACCCCCGAAUUACUGAUACUAGAGAGACUUCAGUGUUGUACAAACAGUUUGCCUCUGCGUUCCCCGCCAGAGGCUCCCAUCCUCCCUCCCACUCCCCUAGUGUUAGAAUGGCGCGCAACACUCCUCUGAUAAGCAGCCAAACUCCAGGUGCCUGUCCUUGAGACCUUAGAGAAAUAACAAGCUCAAGGGAGACCAUGGGAAAAAAGGUAAACAGAGGUCAGGUCACAGACAGUUACGACUGGCCAUAAAAUUAGUCCUUGAAGCUGGGUGUGGUGGUGCACGCCCGGCCACACUGUUCCUAACUAUACUGUAUAUAAGCCCAAUGUUUUCUAGACUCAGGGUUGCUUGCCAACAUACAUGAAGUGAGUGCUAGGUGGGCAAACUGAGUUUGAACUUGAAAAUGAAAGACUCUUUUUCAAGAUGCAGUGGACUUUGCAAUUCUUGGGCUCGUCUGGGUUUCCCGUGAACUCAGGGCACAACAGCCACACUUCCUAAUAGUGCCACUCCCUGGGACAAGCCAUUACAAGGGGGUUCUUUGCUUCAUGUGGGACAGGAAGUGGAGACAAGAGAAGGAGAUUGGUGACCAGGUAUAACUUUCAAAGGCAAUGACUUAAUGACCUACUUUCUCCCUGUAAGCCAGUGGUUCUCAGCUUUCCUAAUACUACGAUGCUUUAACACAGUUCCUCUUGGUGUGGCAACCCCCAAUCAUACAAUUAUUUAGUUGCUACUUCAUUCUGUAACUUUUCUACUGUUAUGAAUCUUAAUGUAAGAAUUUGAUGUGUGGGAUAUCUGCUAUGCGACUCCUGUGAAAGGGUCACGCAAUCCUGAAGAGGUCUCAACCCCCAGGCUGAGAGCCACUGCUCUAAGCCCUGUCUCCUGAAGUUUCUACCAUCUCCCAAAAUAACAGCACCAGCUGGGGCAAGGUGUUCAACACCUGAACGAGUAAGGGAUAUUCCGUAUGUAAACAAGUGUUCCACCCUUGAACCUGAAGGAUCGUGGCCAUCUCAGAAUGUAAGAUGCACACAAUCCAGCCCGAGUUCUCAACGUCACCGCUGAAUCUCAGGUCUUGCUGUUAUUGAGCUCUGAUGCUAAAAAAGGUUGAAGUCUGACAUUACUGGAAAGCCCCGAGCUCAGUGCAACAUGGUGGACUCCCUUGGUCAGCAAGGCUUCUUCUUCUCAACUUGGGAGAUCCCAGACCCCACAUCCUCUUCCUGCAGAAUGUCGCAUAGUCUUGGUUAGAUCGCAAGUUCAACUUACUUCCUCCAGGUAAGAACCCAUCUGAGAUUCCUGGGAUGCUAAUGAGGCGUCUCAGCACUUUAGCCUUCAGCCAAUGAGCUUUGCCCACUCUGGACAUCCCUUCCCCCAUCCUGAUAAUUAUACAGCCUUUGAUUCAUCUCAAAUAAAGUUGAUCUGUCUCUCCGAA